rnacentral:pre_miRNA from 1 species
CAAGUACUCCCUCCGUCCAGAAUUACUUGUCAUGAAAAUGGAUGUGUCUAGAACUAAAAUACAUCUAGAUACAUCCAUUUCAAUGACAAGUAUUUUCGGAUGGAGGGAGUACAAG